GAUCCUGGCUCAGGAUGAACGCUAGCUACAGGCUUAACACAUGCAAGUCGAGGGGCAGCAUUUCAGUUUGCUUGCAAACUGGAGAUGGCGACCGGCGCACGGGUGAGUAACACGUAUCCAACCUGCCGAUAACUCGGGGAUAGCCUUUCGAAAGAAAGAUUAAUACCCGAUGGUAUAAUUAGACCGCAUGGUCUUGUUAUUAAAGAAUUUCGGUUAUCGAUGGGGAUGCGUUCCAUUAGGCUAGG
rnacentral:rRNA from 1 species